GUGGGGAAUAUUGGACAAUGGGCGGAAGCCUGAUCCAGCCAUGCCGCGUGUGUGAAGAAGGCCUUUUGGUUGUAAAGCACUUUAAGCGAGGAGGAGGCUCUUAAGGUUAAUACCCUUGAUGAGUGGACGUUACUCGCAGAAUAAGCACCGGCUAACUCUGUGCCAGCAGCCGCGGUAAUACAGAGGGUGCGAGCGUUAAUCGGAUUUACUGGGCGUAAAGCGUGCGUAGGCGGCUUUUUAAGUCGGAUGUGAAAUCCCCGAGCUUAACUUGGGAAUUGCAUUCGAUACUGGGAAGCUAGAGUAUGGGAGAGGAUGGUAGAAUUCCAGGUGUAGCGGUGAAAUGCGUAGAGAUCUGGAGGAAUACCGAUGGCGAAGGCAGCCAUCUGGCCUAAUACUGACACUGAGGUGCGAAAGCAUGGGGAGCAAACAGGAUUAGAAACCCUUGUAGUCC
rnacentral:rRNA from 1 species